rnacentral:rRNA from 1 species
CUUUGCUAGUUUUCUAGCGAAUGGUUCAUUCUUUUUUACUGUGAACUGUUUUAAUUUUUCAGCGUCUGAGGAAUGUCUUUUAGCCAUAGGGAUAGGCUACUAGAAUGUUAACCGAGCUGAAAGUCAGGCUUAGGCCUGGUAUCCUAUUAAUUAUUUACCAAAAGAAUUCAGUAUUAUAAUUGUAACAUAAGCGUAAAAAACUUAUAAAACAACUUUUAACAACGGAUCUCUUGGUUCUCGCAUCGAUGAAGAACGUAGCAAAGUGCGAUAACUAGUGUGAAUUGCAUAUUCAGUGAAUCAUCGAGUCUUUGAACGCAACUUGCGCUCAAUGGUAUUCCAUUGAGCACGCCUGUUUCAGUAUCAAAAACACCCCACAUUCAUAAUUUUGUUGUGAAUGGAAUUGAGAGUUUCGGCUUUAUUGCUGAAUUCUUUAAAAUUAUUAGGCCUGAACUAUUGUUCUUUCUGCCUGAACAUUUUUUUAAUAUAAAGGAAUGCUCUAGUAAAAAGACUAUCUCUGGGGCCUCCCAAAUAAAUCAUUCUUAAAUUUGAUCUGAAAUCAGGCGGGAUUACCCGCUGAACUUAAGCAUAUCAAUAA